GGUGAAACAAAACCCUGUAUUGCGAUCGGACUCAUUUCCAUUUUCCACACCCGCCCAAAUUUGACUCAAUCCCUCUCACCCUCUUCCUCUUCCUCUCAGUUCUAACCCUCCAAUCAGAUUCAGAUCUCUAGGCCAAAGACCUAGAUCGCUACAUUUCACUCUACAGUUUCAUGUACGGAGAAUUGAGGUUCUGAGUCGUCGACGCGUUACUGAGUCACUGACCGAGUCGCGAUGGCGGGGAAGACCGACUCGGUGUCGAUUCGGGUGCCGUACCGGAACCUGAAGGAUACGGAAGUUGAGAUGAUGGGGAUGGAUGAUGAGCCUCAUCAUCGGAUCGACCUCAAUUCCUCUAGGCCGUCUCCGUCCCCGUCGCCGUCUUCGUCGUCGUCCGCUAGGGUUCAGAACGGGAACGGCGAUCUUCCGCCGCCGCAGAGUCUACCGGUUCCCAAUCAGAACACUCUGAUGACUCUAAUUCUCAGCUGUACGGUUGCCGCCGGUGUUCAGUUCGGUUGGGCUUUGCAGCUUUCGCUCUUAACUCCCUAUAUACAGACACUUGGAAUAGGGCAUGCAUUUUCUUCGUUUAUUUGGCUUUGUGGCCCUAUUACAGGCCUUGUGGUUCAACCAUGUGUUGGUAUUUGGAGUGACAAAUGCUCUUUAAAAAUGGGAAGAAGGCGUCCCUUCAUACUUGCAGGAUCUCUCUUGAUCUCUAUUGCUGUGGUAUUAAUCGGAUUUUCUGCAGACAUUGGAUACUUAUUAGGAGAUACACACGAGCAUUGCAGAACCUUCAAAGGUACCCGAACAAGGGCUGCUUUUGUCUUUAUUAUUGGAUUUUGGUUGCUGGAUCUUGCCAAUAAUACAGUCCAGGGACCAGCCCGUGCUCUUCUAGCAGAUCUAUCAGGCCCUGAUCAACGUAACACAGCAAAUGCUGUGUUUUGCUCAUGGAUGGCUGUUGGUAACAUCCUAGGAUUUUCUGCUGGAGCAAGUGGAAAUUGGCACAGGUGGUUUCCUUUCUUGUUGAGUAGAGCUUGCUGUGAAGCCUGCGGAAAUCUUAAAGCUGCAUUUCUUAUAGCAGUGGUAUUUCUCUUGUUUUGUACACUUGUUACUAUAUAUUUUGCUGAGGAGGUUCCACUCACUGCAUAUCAGCCCAUGCGUAUAUCAGAUUCUGCUCCUUUAUUGGACGAUCCACAACGAAAUGGUUUCGAACAUUCAAAAUUAAAGUCUGAUAUGCAUGUUAUAGAUACUGCCAAUCAGAACAGAGCAGUGAAUGGCUAUGAAAGAGAUAGAAAUGUAAAACAUCCCAUCCCAAAUGUUGAGGAAGUUCAGAAUGGUGGUUUUAAUGAUGGUCCUGGAGCAGUGUUGGUCAAUCUAUUGACCAGUUUAAGGCAUUUACCACCUGCAAUGCAUUCAGUGCUCAUUGUUAUGGCUCUUACUUGGUUAUCCUGGUUUCCGUUCUUUCUUUUUGAUACGGAUUGGAUGGGAAGGGAAGUUUAUCAUGGAGAUCCCUCAGGGAACUUGUCUGAAGUGCACACGUAUGAUCAGGGUGUCAGAGAAGGUGCAUUCGGUUUAUUAUUGAAUUCAGUCGUUCUUGGAAUUAGUUCUUUCCUAAUUGAGCCAAUGUGUAAGCGGAUGGGGGCAAGGCUAGUGUGGGCAAUGAGCAAUUUUAUUGUGUUUGCCUGCAUGGCAGGCACUGCUAUUAUAAGUUGGAUAUCUUUAGGAGAGUAUUCUAAAGGGAUUGAACACGUAAUUGGAGGGAAUGAUAAUAUCAAAAUUGCUUCCCUGAUUGUUUUUGCUCUUCUUGGGUUUCCUCUCGCUAUCACAUACAGUGUUCCCUUUUCUGUUACAGCUGAGUUGACUGCUGAUGCAGGCGGUGGACAAGGACUGGCUAUAGGAGUUUUGAAUCUGGCAAUUGUCAUCCCACAGAUGAUUGUGUCUCUCGGUGCGGGGCCAUGGGAUGCUUUAUUUGGUGGAGGAAAUAUACCUGCCUUUGUUUUGGCUUCUUUUGCUGCCCUUGCUGCUGGCAUUUUUGCAGUUCGCAGGCUACCAAAUCUAUCAAACAGUUCUUUCACAUCGAGUGGUUUUCAUUUUGGCUAGUGACGAGCAGCUCUUUAGGUGAUAACCACACCAUGCGUGACUCUUAUCAACAAUACAGGAGCAUUGGCUCCCUGAGGAAUGGCUCUGACAUUUUGCCACCUAGGUUUUCUCAGGCCUUCACUGUUACUUCCAUGCUCAGCUUCCUCAUGCAGGGAAGCCGUCAAUGGUGGUCAGGCUGAUCCAUUGCUCUUAACUCCAUCUGGAAAUAGAUCGGUUUAAUGAAGGCAUGCCCCAGGAGACUUGCAUAACAAGUUUUGCUAUAAUUUCCGUUUUAUUAUAAAUUGCUAACAUUUAACAAGAACAGACUACAAUAAUAUUGUAAUUUUGGACAUUGUAGAGAACAAAAUGCUCUUUGAUAAUGAGAAUGGCAAAAAAGAAGUCUGAUUAUAUAUGAUAUACUGGAUGUUAAUUA